CCGCGGGGCGUGAGCGGAAGAGGGCGCGGGCGCGCCCGGCCGUUCCCCCGCAGGCCGCGGUAGGUCGGCGGCGGCAAAGGGCGGGCAAGGCGGGCAGUGGCGGGCGGCUCCGCCCCGCCCCGCCCCGCCCCGCUGCUUCCCUGCCGGAUCCCUUCCCCUUCCUAUUGCAGAGCUCGACUGGGGUCCGUGUGUGCUCGCGCUUCGCGCCUCCCGCGCGUGGCUGCGGCCCGUGUUUCUGCGCGAGUGGCUGGGCCGUGCCGUGCCGUGCCGUGCCGUGGCUCCGCCGGCCCUCGCUGGCGAGGUGCUGCGCGUCUUGUGCUGUGCUAGGAGAGAGCCGCUGCUGGUGAAGAGCGUGGGGCAAGUAGUCUGCGCUAAGGCACCAGUGUGAGCUUCUGGCUGGCUUCCAGCGCCUUCCGCCCUGCUCUGCUCCGCUCCGCUCCGAACAGGGACGCGGCAGUGCCCUGGGCGAGGGAGGCCUGGCCUGGACUGGCCUGGCUGUCGCGUGCUGCCCUUUAGCUGAGUAAAACUGUACGGCUUCUCUUCGGGCAGGUACAAAUACAACAGGUGGGGUGCCAUCAGAAGAGUCGUAUUUGAGUAGCAUCAGUAAAAGAAAAAAAUCUUGGAUGGAUUCAAAGGAUGUGAAAGUAGAGAUGGCUGUUUCUGUACCUGUGUGAAGAUACUGUACCAGUAUUCAGUCCUCAGAAUAAUGGGAGAUCAAGGAAAAAUUUUCCAUUUAGAGCGCAACUUCAGAAUCCACAGGCCUUCAUCCUGCAGAUGUUCUACUCUACCAACAUAUGAUGAACUAAAAACCUCAACCAAACAACUCUACAGCUUGGAUUGAAUUGAAAAUAAAUAUUCUGAAGAUGGCUAUUAACUCAUGUUCUUCUGUUGUAAGGUCAGUGAAAAAGUGAUUCGAUUUUUUUGUACUAGAGAUAGAAGUAUAAAAUAAGUGUGCAAAUGAGGGAGGGGAAAGCUCACAGUAGAAGUUAAAAUGUAGAAUUUAAAGGAUAUCCUGCUUUAUGUAUUUGUUAUCUACAGGGCCAGGUAAAGGACAAUAGAAUUGCUUUUGCAUACUGUAGGAAUGAAGUUAUUAACUACUUACAGGUUAGGAUGAUUAUUACCAAGCUGUGCUAAAUCAAAGCUGCAAAUUAGAGGAAUAUACUGGUUUUAUCACCAGAAACUUCAGUGUAGGGGGUGUAUGAGUAUUCUGGAGGGGAAAAGAAAUUACACUUUUGCAUUAUAUUGUUCUAAUCCUUUGUCCUCUGUUGUCUGUUAUUUCUGUAAUUUUAUUUGUGGCUUGAAGCUGUAGGAUGUUAACAGGCAUAAGGAAACUUACCCAGAGGUAGAAUUAGUGUGGUUUGCUUUCAGUGUUAGAGGGAUUAAGUGAACACUUGAUGAAACUGUAUUUGUAGGUAACUUUUAAAACCAGGGAUUUAGGCAUCUGGCUGCCAUUAGUAUUCAGGAGUGAUAGGAAGCUGAAGCUGUCUCACCCUUUUUAAAUUACUUUGGCCUAAUGCUUAGCUGAUUAUCAUGAUGAGUGAAUAGUGAAAUAUGGAAUGAAAAUAAUGAAUACUUCUUAGGUAUUUUAGGGGUAAUGUAAGACCAUGUAUAUAGCAUAACACAAUGUUCAUAAGAGUAACUAUUGGAGGAGGAUUUGUAAAGCUAUUUUUAGUUUUGUCAUAUGUGUAGCAGAUGACUAGAGAUUAACAAACUGCUAAUGACAUAGUUGUUCAUUUUAAAAACCUUUAAAUUGAGAAUUCUGUCUACUGUUUAGAUCAGGAGAAGUACGCUGUGUACCAUACAUAAUUCGUUUCUUGUAAUAGGUAUAUUAAACUUUAGUUGCAGUGUCUUGCAGAUGUAAAACUUGCUGAUGUAGUUGCUGGUUUUUAAUAGAUCAGACUCUGACCAUUUCAUAGAUAAAAAGCUAGGCUUUCAUUGGCUGUUAUGAAUAGAGCACCUUUCCGCAAAUGAAGAAAUGGUGUAAUAAUUAACAGGUAUAAUGGAUAUGUGCAUUCAGGUUUCAGUUAUACCUUUAUAAGCUUUAGCUCCUGUUAUCUUUGGUGUAGUUAACCCCCUGUCUGCCCAUACGUAAUUUAACUUCAGCACAAAAAUAGAUUUGUUCUGUUGCCGCAACAUUUUGCUAAUAUGAUAGUUUUUGCUCAUUUUCUAAGAUCUGUAAUGAGUUGUACUUUUGGAUUUUUUUCCUUAAAACAAGGCACAGAACUUCACUAACAAAACUCAUUAAAUAAGUAAUAAUAGUGUUCUAAACAAGCAUAGCAAAGAUUCUUUAAACAAUUUUACAGACAGAGAAUCUACCCAAACUUUAAUUUUUUUCUGAUUUGCAGACUUAAAUGAUAAGUAUUGAUGAUUCCUGGUACUGGGGUUUGGUAUCUUUAACCUAAAAGGUAACUCAGAAAUUGCCAAAGCAGGUUAUUCGAUAGUGGACUUGUUAACUGAAACAGGAGGCGGGCAGAGGUCACAGAACAUUCCUAAGCUCUAAAUAAAGGUAGGAAGGGAAAAUGAGAAUUUUAGGGUUUUAAAAUAUAAAUAUUUUAGUUGCAAAAAUUUAUUGAAUAACAUCAAGAUUAAAUUGCUUUGAUGUAAUAUGCUUGCACUGCAAAAUAUGAAUCA
ensembl:lncRNA